UGUGUGUUAGUGGAAGCGUCUGGAAAGGCGCGCGAUACAGGGUGACAGCCCCGUACACAAAAAUGCACAUGCUGUGAGCUCGAUGAGUAGGGCGGGACACGUGGUAUCCUGUCUGAAUAUGGGGGGACCAUCCUCCAAGGCUAAAUACUCCUGACUGACCGAUAGUGAACCAGUACCGUGAGGGAAAGGCGAAAAGAACCCCGGCGAGGGGAGUGAAAAAGAACCUGAAACCGUGUACGUACAAGCAGUGGGAGCACGCUUAGGCGUGUGACUGCGUACCUUUUGUAUAAUGGGUCAGCGACUUAUAUUCUGUAGCAAGGUUAACCGAAUAGGGGAGCCGAAGGGAAACCGAGUCUUAACUGGGCGUUAAGUUGCAGGGUAUAGACCCGAAACCCGGUGAUCUAGCCAUGGGCAGGUUGAAGGUUGGGUAACACUAACUGGAGGACCGAACCGACUAAUGUUGAAAAAUUAGCGGAUGACUUGUGGCUGGGGGUGAAAGGCCAAUCAAACCGGGAGAUAGCUGGUUCUCCCCGAAAGCUAUUUAGGUAGCGCCUCGUGAAUUCAUCUCCGGGGGUAGAGCACUGUUUCGGCAAGGGGGUCAUCCCGACUUACCAACCCGAUGCAAACUGCGAAUACCGGAGAAUGUUAUCACGGGAGACACACGGCGGGUGCUAACGUCCGUCGUGAAGAGGGAAACAACCCAGACCGCCAGCUAAGGUCCCAAAGUCAUGGUUAAGUGGGAAACGAUGUGGGAAGGCCCAGACAGCCAGGAUGUUGGCUUAGAAGCAGCCAUCAUUUAAAGAAAGCGUAAUAGCUCACUGGUCGAGUCGGCCUGCGCGGAAGAUGUAACGGGGCUAAACCAUGCACCGAAGCUGCGGCAGCGACGCUGAUGCGUUGUUGGGUAGGGGAGCGUUCUGUAAGCCUGCGAAGGUGUGCUGUGAGGCAUGCUGGAGGUAUCAGAAGUGCGAAUGCUGACAUAAGUAACGAUAAAGCGGGUGAAAAGCCCGCUCGCCGGAAGACCAAGGGUUCCUGUCCAACGUUAAUCGGGGCAGGGUGAGUCGACCCCUAAGGCGAGGCCGAAAGGCGUAGUCGAUGGGAAACAGGUUAAUAUUCCUGUACUUGGUGUUACUGCGAAGGGGGGACGGAGAAGGCUAUGUUGGCCGGGCGACGGUUGUCCCGGUUUAAGCGUGUAGGCUGGUUUUCCAGGCAAAUCCGGAAAAUCAAGGCUGAGGCGUGAUGACGAGGCACUACGGUGCUGAAGCAACAAAUGCCCUGCUUCCAGGAAAAGCCUCUAAGCAUCAGGUAACAUCAAAUCGUACCCCAAACCGACACAGGUGGUCAGGUAGAGAAUACCAAGGCGCUUGAGAGAACUCGGGUGAAGGAACUAGGCAAAAUGGUGCCGUAACUUCGGGAGAAGGCACGCUGAUAUGNNNNNNNNNNNNNNNNNNNNNNNNNNNNNNNNNNNNNNNNNNNNNNNNNNNNNNNNNNNNNNNNNNNNNNNNNNNNNNNNNNNNNNNNNNNNNNNNGAUGGAGCUGAAAUCAGUCGAAGAUACCAGCUGGCUGCAACUGUUUAUUAAAAACACAGCACUGUGCAAACACGAAAGUGGACGUAUACGGUGUGACGCCUGCCCGGUGCCGGAAGGUUAAUUGAUGGGGUCAGCGCAAGCGAAGCUCUUGAUCGAAGCCCCGGUAAACGGCGGCCGUAACUAUAACGGUCCUAAGGUAGCGAAAUUCCUUGUCGGGUAAGUUCCGACCUGCACGAAUGGCGUAAUGAUGGCCAGGCUGUCUCCACCCGAGACUCAGUGAAAUUGAACUCGCUGUGAAGAUGCAGUGUACCCGCGGCAAGACGGAAAGACCCCGUGAACCUUUACUAUAGCUUGACACUGAACAUUGAGCCUUGAUGUGUAGGAUAGGUGGGAGGCUUUGAAGUGUGGACGCCAGUCUGCAUGGAGCCGACCUUGAAAUACCACCCUUUAAUGUUUGAUGUUCUAACGUUGACCCGUAAUCCGGGUUGCGGACAGUGUCUGGUGGGUAGUUUGACUGGGGCGGUCUCCUCCUAAAGAGUAACGGAGGAGCACGAAGGUUGGCUAAUCCUGGUCGGACAUCAGGAGGUUAGUGCAAUGGCAUAAGCCAGCUUGACUGCGAGCGUGACGGCGCGAGCAGGUGCGAAAGCAGGUCAUAGUGAUCCGGUGGUUCUGAAUGGAAGGGCCAUCGCUCAACGGAUAAAAGGUACUCCGGGGAUAACAGGCUGAUACCGCCCAAGAGUUCAUAUCGACGGCGGUGUUUGGCACCUCGAUGUCGGCUCAUCACAUCCUGGGGCUGAAGUAGGUCCCAAGGGUAUGGCUGUUCGCCAUUUAAAGUGGUACGCGAGCUGGGUUUAGAACGUCGUGAGACAGUUCGGUCCCUAUCUGCCGUGGGCGCUGGAGAACUGAGGGGGGCUGCUCCUAGUACGAGAGGACCGGAGUGGACGCAUCACUGGUGUUCGGGUUGUCAUGCCAAUGGCACUGCCCGGUAGCUAAAUGCGGAAGAGAUAAGUGCUGAAAGCAUCUAAGCACGAAACUUGCCCCGAGAUGAGUUCUCCCUGACUCCUUGAGAGUCCUGAAGGAACGUUGAAGACGACGACGUUGAUAGGCCGGGUGUGUAAGCGCAGCGAUGCGUUGAGCUAACCGGUACUAAUGAACCGUGAGGCUUAACCUU
rnacentral:rRNA from 1 species